AUGAUCUCGGAGGUCUUUUCCAACCUCAUAGAUUCUAUGAUUCUAUGAUUUUCUUAGUCUAAUGAAAGAGUGAUUCUGUCUUACUGGAGCAUCUCUUGGCUCUCCAGAGCUUUGUUGGAUGGCAGUUGUAAUUGAUCUACCAGGUCUGAGCCAGCCAUAAUCUUAGUUUUUGUUGUUGUUGUUCUACUUUUAUGUUAUUUAUUUUAUUAGACAAGCCAUCCCUUCAGCUAAGGAGAUGUUUUUGUGCCAGCAGAAGGCAGCAUCAGAUCUCAAAGCAGCACCAACCUUGUUGGUACCAGUUUCUGAUCAGUCUCCUGCUGCCUAUCUCUCAGCCACUUGAUUUACUCUCCUCCCAGCAAAUCUACCAUAAAUUCUGUCUGAUCGCUUCCAGAGGUUCUCUGUUGUCACCUUCCUGUUUUAGUUUGGCAGUGAUACUCACACCUGGGUUUUUGUAGUCUCCUGGUUCAAAUUAGGCCUUAUAGCUUGAGGUGCACAGUACAGGGAAAGAGCAGUAGGUUGGUUAUCCUCCAUGGCCUUCUUCCAGCUAGCUACUGGACAGUCUGCACAGUGCUCAGACACUGAAUGUAAGACAAGUGUCAGGCAUUGGCAGUAUUGUAGCCCUUCUUGAUACGUGGUUUUAAGCAUCGCAUGGAGUAAAAAUACAUAUAGUAAAAGGGUUUCUGGUAAAGGCAAGAAAUUUCCCACUUAAACUCAUUGUUUCCACAAAAACAAACAAACAAACAAACAAACAAAACUAAUAAAAUAAAAUAGGGUGCUCAAAAUAGCUCUCUGGGUUCCUUAGUGGGAAUGGCCUAGCAGAUCCUUUAACCCACAAAGACAGCAGUGAUCCUGAGUCCGCUUUUGUCCUUUGAGUGUUACCAGUUCUGAGGCUUGUUGGACAGCAUUUAGGAAGCGGUGCUUUGAAGUGUGCUUGGAAUUGGCUGCUUCUGCUUUUUCAGUGAGUCCUCCUGAGGGUGGAAGAUUAGAGCCAGGCCAUCCUUUCAUAUCUGCAGCAUCGGUUUCUUUUUUUAUCAAGUGCAUUUUAUUGCAAGGUGAAUUCUUUCCCAGCUUUUUGUACUUCGCCAGAUUCCCUUGACCUUGAGCCAGUCGGUGAUGAAUCGUAUGAGUCCCCAUUGAAAACACUGCGGAAGCCAGAGGAAUGCCAGCCUCACUGUGUAGUACAUAAAGUCAAAAUAUUUUAAGCCCAAGACUGAUGGGCAUGAUUCUUCUAUUUCAGUCUGCACCUUCAGAUUAAAAAGCUGUUAAAAGCUUCAAUUUGUCUUGAUGCAUCUGCUGCUUCAUGACCGAUGAAUGACAUGUCCAGGACUGGAGGGUAUGGGUAGGAGGAUGAUAUUUUCUGAUAAAUAUAUCUGAUGGUACUUUAUGUUCAAGUAAACAAUAAAAAUAAAAUAAAAAAAACAAAAGCCUGUUAUAGAAAAUGAUUCAUCUGUUAGAGAGACUGCUGGAACAGCAUCUAGUACUCCUCUGACUGAGGGACUAAUGUCUAAAAAGUCCAUAGACCACUAACACAUGCAAAGUUAGUUUUUGUUUCUGCCUCUUAAUUGCGUUUCCCUCUGCUGCGCUAAGACUGUGUUAGAUUGCAACUGCAAAAUAUCAUCUUGUAAUAUGUUAUGUAUUAGACCUCUUAUUAAUUCUGUAAUUCUUUUGUACAGCUUUGUAGCUAUAUGACUAAAUAUGCAGAGCGUUUAUAUGAAAAACUAUAAAGUUACAGGUUAUUGGUAUUUUGCAGUGUUAAGGGUUCAAUGAGUCAAGUUCUGUGCUGAGGGGAAUCAAUGAUUUCAUAUAAAUUUAUUGCUGUUAGAAUGAGGAUUUCCAGAGUAAACUGGGAGGCUAUAAACUUGCUCAAAGACAUAGCUGGUAGAGCAAGUCUGUAAACCCUUUGAAAUGAUACAAAUUCAUAAAUAUUAGGCUUCUUCCUGUCAGACUACUGUGAUCUGUCGGGGCACCAGUGUUGGGAGGAGGAGAGGUGCAAAGGCUACAAAAGGCAAAUAUUAUUUCUGGAAAUGGCUGGUGGGAUUUGGAUCUGCUUUUAGCAAGCAUGAAAUUUUGGGACUGAGGCCAAGUGCUAUUUCCAGAGUUUGAGGAUGACCCAUGACUUGGAUUAAGGGCUUGAAUUUGAUUUAGCUUAAAUCUGAGGCUGAACUUAGUUGGCAUCUUCUGGUUGGGAUUCUAGGAAAUCAAACCCUCACUGAAGCUUUGUUGACUGAAGUAAAAUUCUGUUUUCACAUACUGGUAGGAAAUCAAAUGCUUUUGAGCCAUCUUCCAACAAGAAAAAAAAAAAAAAAAAAGAACCCAAACUGGUGACAUUUAGAUCUGACCUCAGUACCCUCAUUUCUACUGCAUUUUGGAACAGGGGAGGGGGCAAGGAGAAGAGAAAGAGAGCUCUGGCAAAUAGAAAUUCAAUUGGUUUAAUAUACAGACUAUUUUGCUGCAGUCUAACUGGAGCCUCUUAUUAAGAAUCUGAUGGUAUUUCUAAACAGGGAGAGCUACUCCCUUGGUGGGGGCAAUCUCCAAUCAUACACUAACAUUGCUUUUGACAUAUUUAUGACUCCAAUAAAAUCUCCCAUCUGGUAUAUUUUAAAAUAAAAUUGAAAAUUUAUCACUUUCCUUUAGCUGGUUUGUCGUUCUCCCUGAGAGAAGAUAGCCAGGCUGAGAUUAUUGCAUCGGCAGUCUGUCAGCUGAAGUUAGGCUGAGCUGGGGCACCUGGGGAAAGACAAUACACCCCCCCCCCCCCCCCAUUUUUCUGGAUCUCCACAACCUUGGCUUGGUCAGAGAUGCUUGCAAGAGGAUGAAGCAGAACCCGAGUGUCCUCUCUCCUGUUGCUCUACUGUUAGGCCAGGUUGUGACAGCAGGAAGAGAUCCUUCUCCAUAUGAGGUACACUGCAAGUUUAUGGCAUUUAUACAGCUUACAGAGCUGGUCUUAAAGAGACUGAUCUCUGGGAGAGCAGAGCUAAGGCGUGUCAUUUCCCUGACGAAGGACCAAGGGAGAGAGGAUCUCUCUAGUUAGGAGCAGAGGAGAAAAAAGGCAAAAGCUGGUGAAGCUUUAGCACCUGCCUCAAGCAUAGUUCAGCUGAUGAGAAACACCAGUCAGUGCUCUCAGCAAGGGACCUGAUUCCAACCAUCACGCUUGGACUGAGACAGGUGGGUAGCAAGGAUCCGUGGGGGAGCCAUUACAGGCUAUUCCAGGUGAGCAGAAAAAGGAAAGAAGUAAAGCAGCUUCUGAAUAGAGAGAAUCAGGAGAGCAAGAGGUAGAUGGGCUGAUGAAAUAAUGCUGUCUUUAACUGAAUAAAUAACAGCACCACAGGAGGCAUUCAGGGCAACAAUUUUGGGGAGUUAAAAUGGAGGUUAAAGAUUACAUUUAGGAUUAGCAAUAUCAGGACCCCUAAGGCAUGCUCAGCGAAUGCUAAAGGCAUAGAUAAAAUCAGGUGUGUCUGGAGUAAUGCCUGCUAAUUAGAUAUGUACGAUGUAGGUACGUAUGAUGCUCUUUAUUUUUUCUGUUAACAGCACCUAUAUAUACGAUAUGGUAUCUCUCUAUGUAAGGUACACUUAAUACAUAUUAUUAGCAGAUUUGAUGGUAUAAUAUAUGCAGGCUAACCUGGUUUUAUGGAAGUAAGUGUUAGAAGUUGCUGAGCCAUGAGAAAGGCUUCCUCUGGCACCUCUGUACAGCAGCUCUUUACUUCAGCUCCUGUAUGGCAGCAGCUUACGCGCCAGGUUCUCCGUUGCACCGAGUGAUUAGCUGUGAAUGCACCCUUUGCCAAGACGGUAGGUUUGAUUGGAGCCCUCCUGCCUUCCCCUGAACAUUCACAGAUAGUGCUGGCUGUGUUAGCACGCAAUACAGAUGCUGGUGAAUGAAUAAAGGGGAAAAGGAAGAGAGAGCAAGCUUGUCUUUGUCAUCCUUUUUGAAAAGCAGAGGAAGGCAUUAGCAACCUCCAGAGGGAGUUCCUCUUCUCAGCUGAUCUCUAGGCAUGGAACUGAUGCCUCUGGGAAUCUCUUGACAUAUGAGCCUAUUUUCCUUGGUUCUGUCGUGAUCCUCCGGAGAACAUUUGUUUCCUGUUUGGUUUGAAAAGAUCAGGCUUACUGUGUGCUAAUUUUAUAUGAGGACAUCAAACAGCACAGAACUAGUGCAGUGCACCAGAACAAGCUCAGUUCCAGCUCUGCCAGGAGCAUGUACAGCACCUCGAAUCCCAAAGGGCUCUGUGAUGUGGGGCUCAAGAGAUGAACCUCCCAGUCGGGUUUGAGACUGACCAGCUGUGACUACAGAGUCACACGUGAGCUACGGUGACCAAACAACGCCAUCAUUCCUUCCCAUUUCUGCAGCUGCAUCAGUCUGUUAUGUGAAGGUUGACUGAGUUGUUUUGUAAAUCUCAGCAAUAAAAUGUGUCCACAGUCUCCUAAAUAACAGAAGAAAGAGAAGAAGGCAUGUAAUGAUGGUGCUGGUGGAAGAAAUGAAGAGUAGUGGAGUCUGAAAGAGAUGUGGGCAGGUGAGCAAUGGGCCUUGUGAGGCAGAACAAAAUGCAUUAUUUUUUAUGGAAAUGCAAAAAAAGGAUUGUGGAUCUUCUGGACAGAGGAUGAGUAGAGAAAAUGCUAAUUAUAUUUCAUAAAGUUGAUGGGAGCGAAGUUGGCUUUGUUCCACUGCUCAGGCAAAUGAAUGUGGCAGCUGGAAAGGACUAGCUGGCAAGGGAUGGGAGGAACCUCACGUGGGGAUUGUGCUUCUCACCUGCCAGUUUGUGUUCCCAUUUGUGCCACAGAAGUCUGUUGUGUUGCUGUGAAGCUCUGGGUUCCACGCAGAGGAAAGAUGUUUCAGAAAUUUCAGUGAGAUGCUAAAGCCAGGCUUCUUGCUGGCCCUCUGGCUUGAGUCUCAAACCUCUCCUAAAUUGCAGUGGCCAAAGCUAUGCUUAGCUUCACGUUCAUGAAUGAGUUUCAGGGAGGGACCUCUGGUUCUGAUGUUGCUACCAGGGAGCAGAUGUCCUGAGACAUUUACAGACAUAGGUCCUCUCUUCUCCUUUCUUCUAGGUUGGGUGCCUAAAGCUGAGUUGGCAAAAAUGAUGAUCUGGCUAGGAUGUAUGGCAGUGGGGUCAGGAUAUUCCUGUCGUGCUCAGCACUCCUUACAAAAACGGUCCCUGUCUCCUAUUCCAGAGGCUGCUAGAGAAUGUGGCACAGAUAAAAUAAAGCAGUCAGUGUCCAUGGGGAAAGCAUUCCCAAGAAAAGCAUUUGCUGAGAAAGAGUUUACUGUGCUUUGAGCAGAGUCAAAAGUAAUUAAACGUCCUAGUGAGGCACUAGGAGUGGGCACACUUUACAAAAGAGGGUAAUGUCCUGGGCAGGAACGCUGUUUUUGGGGUGCAGAUGGCCACGUAGAGGGGUGGCCUGGCCUACCUGGAACACUGACUGCCCCAUUGUGAACUGGAACGUGCUGAGACGUGCUGCAGCAAUGCCCUGUGACUUGCACAGCUUGAUUUAAUUCCUCUUGGAUUUGCAGAGAGGAAAGCAAAUAGGUUGAGUGUGGGAUCCCCAAGGCACUGAGUUAUUUAGACGAUCAGCAAAGAAUGAGUAAAGGAGUCGUGGCUCACAAAAGCUCAAGACUGUCAGAAAAAUAUUAGACAUCAUCUGGAAAGAGGAUGGUAUUGGCAGGAUAGAGCUGCCCCAGCCUUGGGACGUGCCCCCAGUUUGAACAGUUUGCAUGGCUAAAGGAAGGUCAGAGCCAUGGAAGGGGAUGGGGUGGAGGGGAGGAGAUUUCAUGUCAAUGGCCGGGGACAGGUGCAGAAAUGCAGAGCUCGGCUGUGGCUGUGGGGUUUGAGCUGAGAAGUACCAAGAGCUUUGACAGAGGGGCUGAAGGUAGAGGUUUAGAGCCUUAGAAGGAACAUGGCUGGAGUGAGCCUGCAAUUCUGGGCGUCAGAUCCAGGAUAAAAUAGAGCUCUUAGCUAGGAUCCUGUUCAGUUUCAGGAGCUAAUGGGUGACUGUGAGAAUGCGAGUGAGUACAAAUAAAGAUUUGAAAGAAAAAUCUAACCCCAAUGUGCUUUUGUGCUACAGUUUUUCUCUGAUCAGAUGCUUGUUUACAAGGAAGGGGGCAUGCCUUUCUCUUGUCUUUGCGAGAGCCCUGGCAAUGUGGAGUUGGAAAGUGAGAUUUUGAAGUGUGAAUUCCAUGUAAUAGAAAAGCAGAGAUUCCCCAGGGGCCGGUACAGCACUUCCCCAAGGCAUCAUUUGAGGUUGGUGGUUGACUAAGUGGGUGAUGUGGAGAGAUUCAGGUGAUGGUAAUGGUCUGUGAUGGUGUUUAAUAGAAAACAGUGGUGGGGCUGUUAUUUCUAGGGGAUUUAACUCCCCCGGGUGCAUGACCUCGCAUAGCAUAAGCUUUCCUAGCAUGAAGUUACGCUAUGUGUUGUGGAGGUGCCGAGGACUUCUGAAUCAUUGCCUAACUCCUCUGGCAUCGCUGCCUGUGAGCCAGAUGGUGCCGGUGCGGGGUAGGACCACUUGUACCUGGUAAGAAAUAGGUAACAAAUGACAAAUCCCAAGGUGUGCCUGUGUACUUGUGCCAAGCUCUUUUUUCCUGAGACGUCCCCGUGCCAGGAUGGGUUGGACAGUCUUUCAGGCCACGUAUUCUGCUUCUGGCUCAGACACGCUUUCCCAGUUCAUGCCUGUGCAGUGCAGAUACGGGGCAUUCAGCAUGACCUUCAUCUGGCAUUUCAAGGGACAGCCUGAACAGUGCCAGAGCCUUCAGCAGAGAAGUGCUGUGUGUCCUGGUACAGAAACAGGAGCAUUUGCUUUUCAUGGAAGGCUGUGGCUGGAUCUUGAGAUGAGAGGAAUGCAUCUGCUUCCCCUGCAGUCCACCAACAUUAAGCAUUUAGUGUGUAACAGCCACUGCCCAGGGCCUGAUUUCUAUGCAGGGUCUGUAGGGAAGGAAGUGAGAACAAAAAGAGAAGGUUUUAGGAUUUGCUUUCUCCAUGGCAGUGCGUGUUGAUCCUUUGUGCGUGUGCUUGCGGAGCGCAGGAAUGGGGGGAGGAUGCCACCGCUUCAUUCAGCGCUGCCUGCGACUAAUGGACCUUGACAACUGCAGCACAACAUGGAAACUAUUAAAAAGGGAGGACUGAUUAAAGCCCAAACCAUCCCAGCAUCCCCCUGGGCUCUUAACCCCGUGUUGGAGCUGAGCAGCCUAGCAAUGCCUCCUCCCUGGCUGCACAAUUAACAUCUCUUGUCACUAAUUGAUUCCUGUGGUGCUCGCAGGACAAUUAGAAUUUAAAUUGCCUUUUACAAAGGUCAUGAAAACAUGAUAAAAGACGAAUCUAUUAGGAAGGAUCACUCAGGAGUCUCUCUCCUUUUCCACAACACUGGCUGCUGGUUAUCACAGGGACACGAGUGAGGGGAACUGGGAGGGUGGCUCAGGCCUUUGGCUCAUUUCUUGCUGAUUGUAGUUCAUGGCAGAGCCUCAGCUCAUUGUCACUUGUGCACAUUCUUGCACUGAAAGUGUUACUUUAUUUUUUGCUGUUUCUUUUAGGAGUUUUUGUAUAUGCUAUCCCUUAUCCGCCUUUUUUGAUAUACUUUGAGAUAGCUGUUUUUCUACUUGACUCCUGAAUUCACUGCAGAGGGGAAGGAACCCGUUUGUGAUGGAAGGUGAAGGGUUUGGCUUUGCAGAGCAAAGGUGUCCUAGUGUCAGCCUGUCUUUACUUCCAGAGAGCUCGUGUCAUCACAUCUGAGCUGGGAUCAAAUCCUCCAUUCAGGUGUCUGUGGCAUCAUGGCUUGUCAAACCGAGUUUUGAGUUUUGCCAUCAAAGCAGAAUUAUGACAGUUUGUAGUUAGGUGGGGAGCUGGUAUUUUGCUUGCAAAUGGGAAUAUCCAGAGUCCUUACAGUCACUCCCCUCCAUCACCCUCAAGCCUCAACAGUGGAAAGAGAUUUAAAGCCUCACAUGUCAUGUUUAAGGCAAUGGUUUGUAAUUGCAGUAAAUCAGGCUGAAAUGGAUCUUGGAA